UACGUAGGGGGCAAGCGUUGUCCGGAAUCAUUGGGCGUAAAGAGCGUGUAGGCGGCCCGGUAAGUCUGUUGUGAAAGUCCAGGGCUCAACCCUGGAAAGCCGAUGGAUACUGCCGGGCUAGAGUUCGGAAGAGGCGAGUGGAAUUCCUGGUGUAGCGGUGGAAUGCGCAGAUAUCAGGAGGAACACCUAUAGCGAAGGCAGCUCUCUAGUACGGUACUGACGCUGAGACGCGAAAGCGUGGGGAGCGAACAGG
rnacentral:rRNA from 1 species